UACAGAGGGGGCAAGCGUUGUUCGGAAUUACUGGGCGUAAAGGGCGCGUAGGCGGCCUUCUAAGUCGAACGUGAAAUCCCCGGGCUCAACCCGGGAACUGCGUCCGAUACUGGAAGGCUUGAAUCCGGGAGAGGGAUGCGGAAUUCCAGGUGUAGCGGUGAAAUGCGUAGAUAUCUGGAGGAACACCGGUGGCGAAGGCGGCAUCCUGGACCAACACUGACGCUGAGUGAGCGAAAGCCAGGGGAGCAAACGGG
rnacentral:rRNA from 1 species